GGGAAGGUGGCUCAGUGGUAGAGUGCUUGCCUUGCAUGCAUAAGGCCCUGGGUUCAACUCCUCACCACCACA
rfam:Dipodomys ordii contig_1457, whole genome shotgun sequence.